GGAUUGUGGCUCAGUGGUAGAGUACUUGCCUUGCACGUGUAAGGCUGGGUUCAAUCCUCAGCACCA
rnacentral:tRNA from 1 species